rnacentral:piRNA from 1 species
UGCCUGCCUUCCGUCGUUUUGAUCCUUGA